rnacentral:rRNA from 1 species
AAUAUUGCACAAUGGGGGAAACCCUGAUGCAGCGACGCCGCGUGAGUGAAGAAGUNUUNNGGUAUNANAAGCUCUAGCAGCAGNNNNNAAAAUGACGGUCCCUGACUAAGAAGCCCCGGUGAACUACGACCCAUCAGCCGCGGUAAUACGUAGGGGGCAAGCGUUAUCCGGAUUUACUGGGUGUAAAGGGAGCGUAGGUGGCAAAUCAAGUCAGAUGUGAAAGCCCAGGGCUCAACCCCGGGAUUGCAUUUGAAACUGGUAUGCUAGAGUGCAGGAGAGGUAAGUGGAAUUCCUAGUGUAGCGGUGAAAUGCGUAGAUAUUAGGAGGAACACCAGUGGCGAAGGCGGCUUACUGGACUGUAACUGACACUGAGGCUCGAAAGCGUGGGGAGCAAACAGG